rnacentral:lncRNA from 1 species
CGUCCAGUCUACGGCCGUCAGCAUGGCCUUCUCCAGGGGGUCACCCACCAGGGUGCCGUCGUCCAGCUGCAUGAGGGAGUGGCAUGAGGCCAGGGCCCGGUGCGUCUCCACAGGGAUGCUGGACACGGGGGUCACCUCCUUUCCGUCCCUGCAAGGACGCGGAGCUGUGGGCACAGGCAGGGGCGGCCAGGUGGCGCUGCGCCUCACCCUGGGCAGCACUCUGGGAAGUACUUUACUGGUUCCCAAACACGGCUUGGGAGGAAUUGGGUCCCCGAGCCCCGCGCACUGCACGUGGGCGCCACCGCUGGUGCGGACUGGAGGCCAGGCCUGAAAUGAGGGAAAUCCCGGGGGCAGGGCCUCUGACCAGUCUUUACCCGUGCGCUCGAGCUGGGGUCACCGAACCCGGAUCCCCUCUGCCGGGCACCUCCGAGCCCAGGCUCCCUGUCACUCACCUCAGCCCCGCCACGCCACGCACCACCAGGCUGUCACUGGUCAAAGUCCCCGUCUUGUCAAAGCAGCACACCUCGACCUUGCCGGCGAAGGGGAUCCGGAAGGGCUCCGUACAGUACAUAUCUGGGGGUGGGGGCGGCAUCAGGGGUUCAGCCCCGUCUGAGCAUGCUCCGCCCCCCAGCCCCGCCGUCACUCACAGAGCUUGGCCAGGGCGAUGAGAGAGGUGUUGACAGCCAGGGAGAGCUCGAUGGGCAGCUCAGGGGGCACGACCGAGGUGAGGAUGAGGGUGCACUCCAGGAAGAGCUUGUAGCGGUUCCGGCUGGGGUCCUUGGUGCCUGCAGAGACAGGUCUGCUGGGCUGGGGUGGUGGGGGACACUGGAACAGGGCGGGGGCCCCGGCACUUACCCUCGAUCCACACAUAGGCAGCUGCUGCUAUGGCAAAGACCAGGAGGAAGAGGAUGAAGAUGAAGGUCUCCAGAAAAGAGCAACGCCUGCCUCAGCCCCGUGAACCACGGACCUCCCCCGCCCCCCCCGCCCAUGGCUGCACCUCAGCCAGGAGUGAAGAAGUGGGUACUUGAGAUCGGGGUGGAAGCCGAGACAGGAAAAGAGAGGCGAGCGCUCCAGGAGGCCUGGGCAGCGCCCCGCCAGGCAGCGCCCCCACUCUGCUCAAACACUGUUUACUGGAGCAACCACAACCGGGUGAGGAGAGCCAGCCCCCUGGCCGGGCUCCCCAGAACCUCAGGCUCAGAGUGAGCCGGGUCCUGGGCUCCCUCCUGUACCCCAGCCCUGGCCUUGGUACAGGCCAGUGCUGUUAGGGCAAAUCCAGGGCCGGAGGGUCUGGGGACCGAGAUGGCCAAUGCCCUAUGUGUCCACCGCCAUCCCAGAGCCCACCAGGGGCGGCCAAGGGCUGCACCUGGGAGGUGUUGAAUCCGGUCCGCAGGACGUAGGCCACACACCCAUUGUCAACCGCUGGGGAGAGAAAGCGCUGGUGUCACCCUCGUCACCGCGUUCCAGAGCCCAUGCAAAGAGCAGCUAGCUUCGGUCUGCCAACACCCCACGGUGUCUGGAUGUGCCCGAGACGCCCGUGCUCUCAACUCCAGGCCACAUUAGUGGCGGUUCCCCCUCCACAGCACUGGCUCGGGUCCUCCGUCCCCACCAGUGCUGCCGGGGGAAGGUCCCACCACACCUUCAUCUGCGGCACUGACUCCCCGGUGAGCAUGGCCUCGUCCACGAUGCAGCGGCCACGCAGCAGCAGAACAUCGCAUGGCACCAGGCACAAUCUCAUCGCUGGCGAUGGGCCUCCACUUGCGACUCCGGUAGACCUGGGUGGGCGGGGUAGCACCAGUGUGGGUGUCCGUGCUGCACCCACCCCAGGCCCCAGCAGCACCCUAACCUGCACCUGGAUCAUGUGGGGCUUGUUGCCCAUCUUGCGGAUCUCAGACAUGUUCCGCAUCUGCUGCUGCACCAGGGAUGCCUCGAAAGCCACCAGCAUGGACAGCGUGAAGACGCUGUAGUACCAGUACUCGUCCAGGCACCAGAGCCCCA